rnacentral:rRNA from 1 species
ACGCUGGCGGCAGGCCUAACACAUGCAAGUCGAACGGUAGCACAGAGAGCUUGCUCUCGGGUGACGAGUGGCGGACGGGUGAGUAAUGUCUGGGAAACUGCCUGAUGGAGGGGGAUAACUACUGGAAACGGUAGCUAAUACCGCAUAACGUCGCAAGACCAAAGAGGGGGACCUUCGGGCCUCUUGCCAUCAGAUGUGCCCAGAUGGGAUUAGCUAGUAGGUGGGGUAACGGCUCACCUAGGCGACGAUCCCUAGCUGGUCUGAGAGGAUGACCAGCCACACUGGAACUGAGACACGGUCCAGACUCCUACGGGAGGCAGCAGUGGGGAAUAUUGCACAAUGGGCGCAAGCCUGAUGCAGCCAUGCCGCGUGUAUGAAGAAGGCCUUCGGGUUGUAAAGUACUUUCAGCGGGGAGGAAGGUGUUGUGGUUAAUAACCGCAGCAAUUGACGUUACCCGCAGAAGAAGCACCGGCUAACUCCGUGCCAGCAGCCGCGGUAAUACGGAGGGUGCAAGCGUUAAUCGGAAUUACUGGGCGUAAAGCGCACGCAGGCGGUCUGUCAAGUCGGAUGUGAAAUCCCCGGGCUCAACCUGGGAACUGCAUUCGAAACUGGCAGGCUAGAGUCUUGUAGA